AUGUAUUGGGAAAGCUUUAGAACAAGUGCCGCACGCAACGUUCUUCAAAUCAAACAGUACCAUGACACUACACGGUAAAAACAAUGGCUAAUUUUUUGAGGGAAAAUAAGGGAAAACUUUGAAGAAGUCGCCUACUUUGACAAAAACUCCUCAGAUUUUGAGGAAGUCUCCUCAAAAAAUAUGGGAUUUUCCCUCAUUUUCUUAGAAUAUUCCUGAAAAUCUGGGACUAGAUUGGGCCUGGUUCACUUACACUACUAGCGCUUCACCGAAAUUAAUGUCUUGAAUUUCGGCGGCUGCCUGAUUUAGUUGAGUUAAGAGGCCUGCGUUAUUACAAGAAACAUUCAGUGGUAGUGACUCUUCCAAGUGUACAUACUCCAGUAAUCAUUUCCACCAGUUGGUUGUGCAUAGUUUAAGGUGUUUAACAUUUAUUCGCCAUCAAUUCGCACCCGCGCGAGUGUGUUGCGCGCGACACUGUACUCUCGGUACAUCACGCGAGUGCUCUCCCCCUUUGCCGUGCCGCGUCCCCUCCCCCUCUCCUCCUCCCCACCCCGCAUUUGCCGCGCCUUUAUGGAAACGUAAACAAACAAUAAAAAUCGGUGUCACUAUCGGCGUCUUCUGCUCAAUACCGAUAAUACCUACUCAUUUAAUUGGCCAUAGGAUUUUAAUUAGAAUUUUAGGGUGGACAUCGCCGCUUUUCAAUAUUAAUCGCAAGGAACUCGGCCCAGAAAUGUUCUUGACAUGAGCAAGAGAAGUCUAUGGAGUCAUUUUACCCAAAAGAAUAGG